GGCUGCGUGGCGUUGGUGUAGUUGGUAGCACUGUUGCCUUGCAACAAGAAGGUCCUGGGUUUAAAUCCCAGUAUGGGGUCU